UGUGUGGUUCCUUGAGAUGUGUAACAGCGCUGGUGUGGCCGAAUUCGCCCUGGGAUAGCCUGCUGGUCCCAGGGCCACUGGCCUCUCGGGCUUGAAAACGCUGUUGUUCACCUUUUUUCUUCUCUGCAGAGAGAGAAACCGAGGCAGCUCUAGAUCGGCGUUCUGCGGCUGUUUCUGGAUCUGAUACCAGUUUGGACAGUGGCCAUGGCAAGCUGUGUCUCCCCGGCCGUGGAGGGGUCUGUGUUCUGUGACUGGCAGUGUCCCCCACUAAGAGCAGGCUCUGGCUUGAAGGCCCACUGAAACUUCUAGAACCCAGGCCCCCCCUUUCGCUGGAGGUGUUGACGUCAUCUGCUCCACGGCCGCGUGCCCCCCGAUGGGAAGAGGGGGCAGCCCGCUCCCCCGAGAGUACCAGCUUACACUGAACACAGAGACCAUGUCUGGACAAGGAAGCCAAAGAUGACACCUAUCAUUGGAGCAACAUUCCGUGGUCCUCAAAGAUGAUGGCUUUUCAGU